AUGUUAACUUCCUAGUGAUGGGAUUUUAUAAUCCUCCAUUUGAUCCACAUGGUAUGAUCUGACACAUACAUGCAGGUAUAAAGUUGGGUGUGACUUGCCUGGGAAGUAUAGGGUUGCUCUGGACAGUGAUGCUCUAUAGUUUGGUGGACACGAGAGGGUGGGCCAUGACGUUGAUCAUUUCACAUCUCCUGAAGGAAUACCUGGAGUGCCUGAAACGAACUUCAGUAACCGUCCCAACUCCUUCAAAGUACUCUCACCAGCACACACUUGUGUGAGUUGAGGAAGAGUUGGAAAAAACUGAUGAGAGCGAUACAACAAGUGUAAGCGAGUCAGCUGUCACUGAUGUUAUGGCCAGUGAUGAGAGAGUUGAAGUCAGCUCCUGAUGAAGAUUUUAAUGUUGAUCCAUGUGAGGCAGAAGAUUUAGAAGUGGAAGAGACAGGAGAAGGCACAAUGAAUGAUUGAUAACAUCCCGUUACUUCAUAUUAUAACUCAAAUUGAUCCAAAAAUGUAGUCCACUCAUGUGUACAUAUUGCAGUGCGAGUAACUAAGCCAAAAGGACCUGUAACGGCAUAUAAUCGCCAGAGCACCUAUAGCUAUAGAGAUCUGUCCCAGGAUCUUUUUGUUUCUAAAAGGUUCCGGCUUUGUACAUAAUGGAAACUAUUGCGGAAUGUAAACUAUUGCAGAAUGUUGCUACUCCCCUAUGCUCUCUUACAGAAGGAUCAAGUUUCAUAUUUCGCUAUUGCGCAGCA